GAUUUCAAGUCUUCCAACAACUGUUUUUGGGUGGGAGUAGUCAGGAGUCUGUGCUGUGGUUGAAGCCCAGGUUGGCCGUCGGGAGCUGAAAUAGAGGCCAGGACUCCUGGCUCCCCGUCCAGACUCUGAGGACCCAGGAGCCUCCAUGGGUACACUCAGAGGCCACACUAGAUGCAAAAAGAGCCAUUUACAGAGAAGUGAGAGGGUCUCAAAGGCUGAACCAAAUGCCUCUGCCAGGAGAAUCUUUCAGAGUGUCCUGGAACAUUGGAAAUAGGCUUAAAGCUUAAAUGAUGAAUCAGAAGAGUUAUGCUGUAUUCUAAUGCUGCCACUAGCUCAAACCUUAGGCCAUCAUCAAGGUUCUGCACCAGAACCAAGUUGUCCACCGACAGCUUUCCUGAGUGACUUCGGGCUGCACUAUUGUAAUUCUUCAGAAAGUGUAUACACAUGGUAGCCAAAGAGCCUGGGCCCUGGAGCCGGACCACCUGGAGUCAAAUCCUAGCUCUGCUACUUAGGAGCUGCUGGUUAGUUAACCUUUCUAUGGCUCAGAUUCACCGUGUGUAAAAUGGAUUGUAAGAGUGGCUACUUGGUAAGAUUGUUGUGAAGUUUAAUAUAUGUGUUAAUAUAUGAAAACACAUGGAAGAGCUCCAGGUACAUAGUAAGUGCUCUGUAAAUAUCAUCUAUUAUUAUUAUUGCAACUACAUUUCACACGUUUUAAAUAAAUCUUAGGAAUUAAAUUGUUUCGUGCAUGUAGAUAAUGUCUCCCCAAGUAAACAGCAAGGAUCUUCACUAUUUUCUAUGAUUUUAUGUCCUGGCAAGGGAAUUCAAAGCAUUACAGCAGCUAUUCCUAAACAAACAAACAAACAAACCUAUUCUAAACAAACACCUGAAGACAGUAAGGGAGGCCUUACCUGGUGCACUGCAACUUUAAACCAUUUUAGUUUAUUUUAGGCAAAUAAAGAGAAUUAUGACACAAAUAAACAUAAUAAAGACCCUGCAGCUGCAGCCACUGGCUUCUCCUUAAUGUCUUGGUUUCUUUCUGACUCUUUGUAGAUGAAUUCUAAGAGUUGGGAAUGAGAAUUUCUAAUGGAUUUACUGACACUACUUUAUAUAAUUCAAUACAUAAUAAAAUGAAAAUCUUUUGAAAAUGCAUAUGAGUGCCAUCAUGUUGAGGCAGUUAUUGCAGGAAAGGCGAGAAAGUAAAAACUAUGUGUGGAAUAAAAGGAUAAAAUAUUCUUAUUUCAUCAGCUUACCUUUUGACUCCUUUAUAUUGUGAGUUCCAAAUAUGGUCAAGAUGAAAUGUGUUUAUUUUGCCUUGAACCUUCUCACUAAUGUACCAAAGGGACAUUUCAUGAAAGCUAAGAAGUACGAAU